GCAAGGGAAGUCAAGAUCGAAUCCACAAGGAAACAUCGUUCUUUCUCCAGCGUCUCUUUCCUACUACUAAGUACUAACAUCCACCAUAAAUUAAUCCAACAGGAUAAUCAUCUCCUUGAUGUAUGAUGAAGCAGUAGAUAGCAUACUCCUCAUCUAUCUACCUAAUAACCUGUUAUUUUGAAAGAAGCAGAGGAUUUAUCAUAUAGCAAACCUAAAAACAGAAACCCAAAACAAGUUUUUCUUCUUUCCUUGACAUUUAUAAAUUAUCUUUUUCAGUUGUCUUUUAAUCUGAGUUUUGCUUAACAAAGCGGCCAAGCAACUAUUGAUUGUUGUAGCGAGUAAUGUGACGUAUGAUCAUCGAGCUAUUGUCAUUGAUGGCAUUAUGGCAAACGCCGUGUUCUUGUGUCUGGCUCUAUUCAUUCCCGAGAUGUGGCCUGACCUCAUUCAAAAAUAUAAAGAUGGAGGAUUAGAUAUAGCUGAGAAAUGAGAAUUAUGUUUUCUAGAAUUCGCAUGAACCACUCCGAGGUCAGGAACUGUGAAAGGGAUUAUGUCGUAAUCUCAAGAGAGGUAAUUUGUACAGGUGGAAGAUGUUACGCAAACCGGUGGUGUUGGAUAAUGUCGUGUUUAUUGUGAUAGAUUUAGACCUUGAAGUUUCUGAUUAAGUGCCUUACUGAAGUUGGUUUGUAGAUUAAGUGUUCCACUAAAUAUAUGGAGGGACAGUCGAAGAUAUUGCAGAUAAAAUUGGUUCGAUCUUAAGGGCCUCUUUGGUAUGAAUCAUGUGAUAGACACUCAAAGAGAGUAGAUCUAAGCUCACAAUCUCCUCAUUUGGUAAGCCAAGAAUACUAAGAUUGCUCGUGCAUACCUAGAACGAGCAUUGAAGGGCGUGAAGAAAUGGGACGAUCAGAACAUAAGGCCGGUCAAGUUCGAUGUGGGAGAUAUGGUAAUGGUGAAGGUGUUACCGGAACAUCUAAGGUUCCUCAGAGGCAGAGAUCACAGACUCGUCAGAAAAUAUGAAGGCCCCGUCCGCAUCACUAAACGGAUUGGGAAGAGUGCUUACAAGGUUGAACCUCCUAUAUGGAUAAAGAUACACCCCGUGUUGCAUGUUAGCCGGCUCAAACCCUACCAUGCAGAUGAAGAACAUUCUAACCGCAACAUCAGCACCCGCGCCGACAUCAAGCUCCGACAACGUACAACCACCUCAACCGAAGACUAAAGCGGCUCCACAAUGUUAUUGCUUUCUUUAGUUUCUUUUGUAAUCUUGUAAGUCGUCGAGGAGUUCGACAUCUUUAGUGGGGAAGGAUGUUAGAAUCCAAACUUCCUUGCCCUUGUAAUUUUCUUAUAUUUCCUUGUAUUUUUCUUAUCUAAUCUUUCUAGGACAUUUUUCUUUUAAGUUUCUAGGCUUUAGAGAAGAUUAUUAUGUUAUUGUAAUUCCAGUGUUCACUGGCAGUACUUAGCUAAUUCAAAAUAAACCUCUAUGAGGGGUGUUGUGGGAUCUUUUACGGUGAUGACGUGUCACGCGUUCCUCGGAGGUAUCAAGUAUGAGCUGGCACGAACUUCUGGCAACCUGCAAAACAAGAAUAUUCCCGUAGGAAUAUUCCCUCCGAUGCUUAAGUAAGUAUAAGCUAGAGAGAGAAGUAAUUUGUAGAGAGAAGGCAGAGCAAAGAUAGUUUUAGGUUGGUGGGAAUGAAUUGAUUGCCCU